CGGAGUGUAGCUCAGCUGGUAGAGUGCAGCGUUCGGGACGCUGAGGCCGUUGGUUCGAAUCCAAUCACUCCGA
rnacentral:tRNA from 1 species